UCGAUAAAACACGUGUUACAUAUAACAUGAUCGUAAAUCGAAGCACUGUAUACAGUGCCAUCUAUAAAUGAUAUACAGAUCGGAACAUCGUAUUUUAUCCAUUUCAACAAGAGGAUCUAAGUUAAGCAACGCCACGCGUGCCAACCGUCAUCAAUCGAAUGUCUGAUUCAUUCACGUAAAUGGAGAGGAAACUCUGUACUUGUUCUCUGGAUCGUGGAAUAUCGUAUUCUCGGCUGAAAAACGAUUCGCCUCGCGUGAUGAACCGAAAACGAUUAACUAACAUAAAACGGCUGCGACACGAAGAAGUUGCUCAAGGUUCUGGGAACGCGAAAGAAAGAAAACGACGUGGCUGGUGUUACGGAAGCUUAAUCGUUCAAGGACGAUCCUGGCCUUUCAACAUUUACGCUUAGUCGCGGCUUAAGGACAAAUCUAAGGUAUCGAGCAUCGACAACGUUUAACUUGGAUCGUGUUCAGGGAAAGAGAGUGGAAAGAAUGACGGGGGGAGGGGAAGGCUGAUCGAGUCGCCUAUACUCUCUUGGCAUUCGAAACGCGUUACUUUCAUUUCUAACAAGUAGCCAUUCAAGGGCCACGCACUGAUUGUGAGACGUUGGUAGUCACACGCGUCCAUGUGUGUACAGGAGAGAGAUAUGGUUGAUCGAUGGCUCUUUCCUUUCCCGAGAUCCCCAUCUCGAGGAUCCAACCGUGCAAAAAGGAAACCGGGAGAAAAAAAAACGAAACGAGAUCGAUGUCACAUGUCCAGGAUAUAUCUGGUCUCUCAGGACGUAUUAAGGUCGAUAGAUGAAAAACGCCACGACCGCCGCCCUAUGACUCACCCCUUGGGCUCGAUCUUUUUCAAAGAGGUGCACUUGCACACACCGGCCUAACCUUGCCAAGCGCGGACUAUUCAGGUCGGGUUAGGUCAUCCCCUGGAGAUAAAUACAGACUUUCCAUUAUAUGUGUACAGGAUGAAUCAGGUACCUUUGUGGGACUACCUGCCGCCGCUGCUACUUUCUUCUUACUUUUACCAGGCCUCGAGUUUCGGGCUUUCAAACUGGUCCACGACAUCUUC